ACUCAAAGGAAUAGACGGGGACCCGCACAAGCGGUGGAUGAUGUGGAUUAAUUCGAUGCAACGCGAAAAACCUUACCUACCCUUGACAUGCCCGGAACCCUGCUGAGAGGCGGGGGUGCCCGAAAGGGAAUCGGGACACAGGUGCUGCAUGGCUGUCGUCAGCUCGUGUCGUGAGAUGUUGGGUUAAGUCCCGCAACGAGCGCAACCCUUGUCAUUAAUUGCCAUCAUUUGGUUGGGCACUUUAAUGAGACUGCCGGUGACAAACCGGAGGAAGGUGGGGAUGACGUCAAGUCCUCAUGGCCCUUAUGGGUAGGGCUUCACACGUCAUACAAUGGUCGGUACAGAGGGUUGCCAAGCCGCGAGGUGGAGCCAAUCCCAGAAAGCCGAUCGUAGUCCGGAUCGGAGUCUGCAACUCGACUCCGUGAAGUCGGAAUCGCUAGUAAUCGCGGAUCAGCAUGUCGCGGUGAAUACGUUCCCGGGUCUUGUACACACCGCCCGU
rnacentral:rRNA from 1 species